rnacentral:lncRNA from 10 species
UGAAAAGGGUGUCUUUUCCCUCUGCCUCACCCCUCUCAAUAGUACAAAUAAAACCCCCCACAAGAUUAAAGAAGAGAGUUAAAGCAAGAAUCCUCAUGACAAGGGGUGGCUACUCUGGCAUUUUCAAGUCUUGAGGUUGCUGUUUUCCAGGGGGUGAUGUGGGUACAGAUAGAUGCCACAAGCCAGCUGCCAACAGGAAUCCAGACCCUGGCUAACCAUCACCCAGCUUCCAUCUACUGUGUUGAGGGGCAGACCUGCCUGACUUGGAUAUCAGCUUCUCCAUGAAAAUAUGCAGUGCCUAAAAUUUACACUGAUCGAUUUGUUCACGAGAAAGGACAUUUCUAAAAGAGCCAGGAGACUGCCCCCAGAACCAAGAGGAGUACUGGAGAGCAGAAGAUGAAGAAAAACCUUUAAACAGCAGAGCAGUGAAGUGGAGGGAGAGGCGGCCCCUCUCCUUUGCCAGAGACUCCCACUCCCAGAUGCAGGCUGGAGCGAUCCCUCAUAAUUUAAGCUGACACCCCUCAGCGGAGAUGAAAGGAACACCACUCGCUGCUCUCCAACAACAAAUGUCAGCAUCCCUGGAGGCCGUUUAGACACAAACGCAGCAUAAAUCUGACUCCUAGUGGGGAAGUCCAGAGAUUAAGUCUCCACACACAGCCUACCAGAGUGAAAUGAAUUUGCUUGGCACAAAGUUUGAACAUGUUUCUCAGGGCCUUUCUUUCCCCUUUCUUGUAAAAAAAAAAUCUGGAAUGGUUC